rnacentral:rRNA from 1 species
GUGGGGAAUUUUGCGCAAUGGGGGAAACCCUGACGCAGCAACGCCGCGUGAGUGAUGAAGGCCUUCGGGUCGUAAAGCUCUGUCAGAGGGGAAGAAAUGCAGGGGUGCUAAUAUCAUCUUUGCUUGACGGUACCCUCAAAGGAAGCACCGGCUAACUCCGUGCCAGCAGCCGCGGUAAUACGGAGGGUGCGAGCGUUGUUCGGAAUUAUUGGGCGUAACGCGCGUGUAGGCGGUUUGGUAAGUCUGAUGUGAAAGCCCCGGGCUCAACCUGGGAAGUGCAUUGGAACCUGUCAGACUUGAAUACGGGAGAGGGUAGUGGAAUUCCUAGUGUAGGAGUGAAAUCCGUAGAUAUUAGGAGGAACACCGGUGGCGAAGGCGGCUACCUGGACCUAUAUUGACGCUGAGACGCGAAAGCGUGGGGAGCAAACAGGAGUAGAAACCCGGGUAGUCC